UACGAAGGGGGCUAGCGUUGCUCGGAAUCACUGGGCGUAAAGCGCACGUAGGCGGAUUGUUAAGUCAGGGGUGAAAUCCUGGAGCUCAACUCCAGAACUGCCUUUGAUACUGGCGAUCUUGAGUUCGGGAGAGGUGAGUGGAACUGCGAGUGUAGAGGUGAAAUUCGUAGAUAUUCGCAAGAACACCAGUGGCGAAGGCGGCUCACUGGCCCGAUACUGACGCUGAGGUGCGAAAGCGUGGGGAGCAACAGGG
rnacentral:rRNA from 1 species